rnacentral:sRNA from 1 species
UAUUAUUGUCUCAUGCUGAUGAGUUGUCUUCACCAAAUGUUUACAUUGUGUUACACGGUCCUCUAAGAAUAUUUACGGUGUUACACAACACAGAAUCUUUUUGAAGAAGAGUUGCUAUGUAAUACGCACGGCCACGAGUGGACCCAGGACCCUUGACAUUGUGAGGAUGAUGUAGAAUGGCUGUAAUUAUUGUACCAAGAAGUUAUUUGUCAAGUAUUAUGUCCAAAGUGAUAUGGAAAAAAAUGGACACAUUUAUAAUUCAUCGAUUGUUGAUUUAUUUAAUUUAAGAAGUAUUUUAUUCAAGUAUAUAAAUACAUUGAAAUGGAUUGAACAGCAGGCACAAUGCCUAUUUAUGUUCUCUCCUGUAGUCAAAGUAUAAUCAGGAGUAAUUAUAUAAUUUUAUAUAAGAUAUAUAUACAUAUAUAUUGCAAUGGAAUUUUGUAUAAUAAAUUAAUAUUACAAAUAGCAUUGGAAGGAGGUACAGUGCAAAAAAAUAAACAAAACAAAUAGCUUAUGAUAGGAAAAUGAAAAUUUAAAAAAAAAAAUAGAAAAAUAAUGGUUAAUUGCUAAGGUUGAAAAUAAAAAAGUAUAUGUAGUGUAGAGAAAAAAUGAG